rnacentral:rRNA from 1 species
CAAAGCUGGGGUGCCCGCAAGGGAAUGGUAAGACAGGUGCUGCAUGGCUGUCGUCAGCUCGUGUCGUGAGAUGUUGGGUUAAGUCCCGCAACGAGCGCAACCCUCGCCUUUAGUUGCUCCGCAAGGAGAUCUCUAGAGGGACCGCCAGUGAUAAGCUGGAGGAAGGUGGGGAUGACGUCAAGUCCUCAUGGCCUUUAUGUCUGGGGCUACACACGUGCUACAAUGGCGAGUACAAAGCGUUGCCAACCUGCGAAGGGGAGCUAAUCGC